rfam:Gossypium hirsutum cultivar TM-1 chromosome 11, whole genome shotgun sequence
AACCCAUGGUGAGGGCACGGUUUUAAUAAGUCCUUAAACCUAUCCCAUGCAUCCUAUAACAUUUCUAAAUCAAUCUACAUAAAGGAAGAGAUGUCAUUCCUCAACUU